UACGUAGGGGGCAAGCGUUGUCCGGAUUCAUUGGGCGUAAAGAGCGUGUAGGCGGCCUGAAAGGUCAGCUGUGAAAACUCGAGGCUCAACCUCGAGACGUCGGUUGAAACCAUCUGGCUAGAGUCCGGAAGAGGAGAGUGGAAUUCCUGGUGUAGCGGUGAAAUGCGCAGAUAUCAGGAAGAACACCCGUGGCUAAGGCGGCUCUCUAGUACGGUACUGACGCUGAGACGCGAAAGCGUGGGGAGCGAACAGG
rnacentral:rRNA from 1 species